GAGUUUGAUCCUGGCUCAGGAUGAACGCUAGCGGCAGGCCUAACACAUGCAAGUCGAACGGUAACAUGAGAGCUUGCUCUUGAUGACGAGUGGCGCACGGGUGCGUAACGCGUAUACAAUCUACCUUUUACAUGAGGAUAGCCUUUAGAAAUGAAGAUUAAUACUCUAUGGUAUUAUUGAUUGGCAUCAAUUAAUAAUUAAAGCUUCGGCGGUAAAAGAUGAGUAUGCGUUCUAUUAGCUAGAUGGUGUGGUAACGGCACACCAUGGCAACGAUAGAUAGGGGCCCUGAGAGGGGGAUCCCCCACACUGGUACUGAGACACGGACCAGACUCCUACGGGAGGCAGCAGUGAGGAAUAUUGGACAAUGGAGGCAACUCUGAUCCAGCCAUGCCGCGUGCAGGAAGACUGCCCUAUGGGUUGUAAACUGCUUUUAUACAGGAAGAAACCGCUCUACGUGUAGAGCUCUGACGGUACUGUAAGUAUAAGGAUCGGCUAACUCCGUGCCAGCAGCCGCGGUAAUACGGAGGAUCCAAGCGUUAUCCGGAAUCAUUGGGUUUAAAGGGUCCGUAGGUGGAUAAUUAAGUCAGAGGUGAAAGUUUGCAGCUCAACUGUAAAAUUGCCUUUGAUACUGGUUAUCUUGAGUUAUUAUGAAGUAGUUAGAAUAUGUAGUGUAGCGGUGAAAUGCAUAGAUAUUACAUAGAAUACCAAUUGCGAAGGCAGAUUACUAAUAAUCAACUGACACUGAUGGACGAAAGCGUGGGGAGCGAACAGGAUUAGAUACCCUGGUAGUCCACGCCGUAAACGAUGGUUACUAGCUGUUCGGACUUCGGUCUGAGUGGCUAAGCGAAAGUGAUAAGUAACCCACCUGGGGAGUACGUUCGCAAGAAUGAAACUCAAAGGAAUUGACGG
rnacentral:rRNA from 1 species